rnacentral:rRNA from 1 species
UACUGCUAUCGAGGUUCGACUAAGCCAUGCGAGUCGAAUGUUCUUUAGGGACAUGGCGUACUGCUCAGUAACACGUGGAUAACCUGCCCUGAGGUCAGGGAUAAUCCUGGGAAACUGGGAAUAAUCCCUGAUAAGCCAGAGAUGCUGGAAAGCGCUCUGGUAUAAAGUUACGGCGCCUCAGGAUGGGUCUGCGGCCUAUCAGGGUAGUAGUGGGUGUAAAGUACCUACUAGCCGACGACGGGUACGGGUUGUGAGAGCAAGAGCCCGGAGAUGGAUUCUGAGACACGAAUCCAGGCCCUACGGGGUGCAGCAGGCGCGAAAACUUUACAAUGCGGGACACCGCGAUAAGGGGACCUCGAGUGCCAGCAUACAAUGUUGGCUGUCGUGAUGCCUAAAAAGCAUCGUAUAGCAAGGGCCGGGCAAGACCGGUGCCAGCCGCCGCGGUAACACCGGCGGCUCGAGUGGUAACCGCUAUUAUUGGGUCUAAAGGGUCUGUAGCCGG